rfam:Canis lupus familiaris chromosome 4, whole genome shotgun sequence.
GUGCUCACUUUGGCAGCACACAUACCAAAAUUGGAAUAAUACAGAGAAGUGUAGCAUGGCCCCUGUGCAAAGAUGACAUGCAAAUCUGUGAAACUUUCCAUAUUUUA